rnacentral:rRNA from 1 species
AAUGAACGCUGGCGGCAUGCCUAACACAUGCAAGUCGAACGAAAGCGCGGGCUUCGGCCUCGCGGGGAGUUGUGAACGGAUGGGUAAUGCACCGGAACGUGACCUACCUUGGGGGAUAGGCUGGCGUAAGGCGGAUUAAUAUCGUACCCGACCUUAGGGUGAAAGGGAUGGACCGAAAGGGCUCGCGCUAUUUGAUCUGACGAGGUCGGAUUAGCUAGUCGGUGGGGUAAAGGCUUAACAAGGCGACGAUCCGUAGCUGGUCUGAGAGGCCGACCAGCCACACUGGGACUGAGACACGGCCCAGACUCCUACGGGAGGCAGCAGUGGGGAAUUUUGCGCAAUGGGGGCAAGCCUGAUCCAGCAACGCCGCGUGCGGGAUGAAGGCCUUCGGAUUGUAAACCGCUGUUGUUCGGGAAGAAAUCAUGUGGACUUAUCCCCGGGGGUGAUGACGGUACCGGAAGAAUAAGCCCCGGCUAACUACGUG